rnacentral:tRNA from 1 species
UCGGCCCCGCCGAUCUCCUCCUCAACUCCCGCACCGGCCAGGUCGACGUGGACGCCCGCACCGGCCUCGUCA